CCUACGUGAGGCAGCAGUGGGGAAUAUUGGGCAAUGGGCGCAAGCCUGACCCAGCAACGCCGCGUGAAGGAAGAAGGCUCUCGGGUUGUAAACUUCUUUUAUCAGGGACGAAGCCAGUGACGGUACCUGAUGAAUAAGCCACGGCUAACUACGUGCCAGCCGCCGCGGUAAUACGUCUGUGGCAAGAGUUAUCCGGAUUUACUGGGUGUAAAGGGGGUGUAGGCGGGAAAGCAAGUCAGAUGUGAAAACCAUGGGCUCAACCUGUGGCCUGCAUUUGAAAGUGUUUUUCUUGAGUGCUGGAGAGGCAGACGGAAUGUCUAGUGUAGCGGUGAAAUGCGUAGAGAUUAGGAGGAACACCAGUGGCGAAGCCGGUCUGCUGGACAGCAACUGACGCUGAGGCACGAAAGCGUGGGGAGCAAACAGGAUUAGAUACCCCAGUAGUC
rnacentral:rRNA from 1 species